rnacentral:lncRNA from 1 species
CGGAUCCAUCUAUGGUUGUGCAGACAGCUUUGGCUAAUUUCAGGGCGUAUCAACUCCACUCAGCUCCCUUACGCUUUAGAUCUCCUCUGGCCUCCACCGAUCAGUCUCAUCUAUGGCGUCCCCCUGCAAAAGGAACCUUAAAAUGUAACAUUGAUGCAAGCUAUCAGCCGGGCAGCGCUGAAGGUCGAAUUGCGUGUAUCUACAGAGACGAGCAAGGGAGACUUACCGACGUGUACACAACUCGAGUCCAGGCGCACUCCGCUUUUGAAGCCGAACUCCAGGCCCUAACGUCUGCUCUACACCAUCUGAUCGAUCGACGUCUUCACAGAGGGUCGCUAGAGUUGGAAACUGACUACUUGAAUCUUGUUGAAAUCAUCAAAGGGCAUCGACAGCCACCCUGGGAGCUGCGAUCGCUGAUUGACGAAGCAGCCGCUCUGCUUGUUGAUU